rnacentral:rRNA from 1 species
GACAGAGGGUGCAAACGUUGCUCGGAAUUACUGGGCGUAAAGCGUGCGUAGACGGUUGCGUAAGUCAGAUGUGAAAGCCCCGGGCUCAACCUGGGAAUUGCAUUUGAGACUGCGUAGCUAGGGUGCGGAAGAGGGAAGCGGAAUUUCCGGUGUAGCGGUGAAAUGCGCAGAUAUCAGGAGGAACACCAAUUGCGAAGGCAGCUCGCUGGGACGUAACUGACGCUGAGACGCGAAAGCGUGGGGAGCAAACAGG